rnacentral:rRNA from 1 species
UACGAAGGGGGCUAGCGUUGCUCGGAAUCACUGGGCGUAAAGGGUGCGUAGGCGGGUCUUUAAGUCAGGGGUGAAAUCCUGGAGCUCAACUCCAGAACUGCCUUUGAUACUGAGGAUCUUGAGUUCGGGAGAGGUGAGUGGAACUGCGAGUGUAGAGGCGAAAUUCGUAGAUAUUAGGAAGAACACCAGUGGCGAAGGCGGCUCACUGGUCCGGUACUGACGCUGAGGUGCGAAAGCGUGGGGAGCAAACAGG